UCUGGCAGCUGGUCUCCCCCAUGGUCCGGAAAGAUUGCGAACAACCAACAGGGCACUUUCUUUCUGUAUAGAAACCUAUGCUGUUUGGGUGUAAGGAAAUCCCUGCACCUUUGCACAGAACUUUGAUCUGAAAACUCCCUUUUGUCUCAGGAUACAAUCAUACUUCCUUCAUGAAUCCUGCCUCUGGACCAAGACUAGCCGAGAUACUUGCUUUCUACACCAAAACCUGAGCUGCAUGCUUCCAUCUCCACAAUCUGUAAAACACCUAAUUCCGUCAAAGAAAAUAAGAGAUUUCAAGGUGAGAAGUUAAGGAUUGAGAAAUGAAGUAUCAAAGAAACAUCAUUCAACAGCUUUCAUUCAGAUAAUGUAUUUCUUUUUCAAUUUAUUGAAUAUUCAAUUUGUUGAAUAUUUAUAAGGCAUUCUGCUAAAACCUCCAGCACAGACAAUUAUCUGUAAUAUGUCAUAUAGAGUAAUUCUGUGUCCUUUCAAAGUUUUGGACUACAAUUUCCAUAGUCUCUUGCAACUCCCAGUGCUAUUUGAGGCUGGUGGAAUUGAUGUGCAAAAUAACUGGGAUGCACCAAUUUGCCUACCUCUACUCCAGUAUUACGUCUCUGUCACUGGAUAGCCUCUUGAGUUAAACAUACAACAUAAAUAAUUCUGGGAGGUUAAGCAAGCUGAGGAGCAAUGGCUGCCAAUUUGGGGAAAGGAGUUUCUUUAGUUAAACAUGCACUGGAUAAGCCAGGUUUUACCACUUACUCCAGGACCAAUGACACUGAAGACAUCAGGAGUCAGAUCUUCUGUUCCACAUUUUUUAAAAAUAAUUCUGCCAUUAUUAGUGAAAUCUAUAUAUGAAUAACCAAUAUGCCUAGCACUUUAAAAAAAAAAGAGGGCGGGGAAGUAGGAGUGAAAAAGAUGAAUUUAGUUUAGUUUCACAUAAUUAGGUUUUGGUUUUGCACAUUCACCAAAAAUGUGUAUUUUAAGGGAGAAUGAGAACAACUGGGAAAUCUUCUCCUCUCCCCACUACACACAAAGACAUUUGGGAAAGACAUUCCAGAAGUAAGGAGCGUACAGGGAAAAGCAAGUUAAGAUAGCAAGAGAUUCUCGCUAGAGUUGCAUAAAAAGAAUUUGGGAUACAAAAUGACCGUUGACUUUCUACAUUGGACUUGGAACACACUACUGAAGGGUAGGCCACACAUACUCAUAUAGUCUCUACAAUUCGCCACAUGAACUGGUCAAAGGAGUCACAUGCAGUGGCUAUCUAAAAAGUGGUACGACAACCACUAGUUUUUCCUUUUCUAAGUAUUUUUAUGUUUAUAACCUAAUACAGAAGUUACUUAGUCUUUCUACAACUGGGGAAGGGACAGGGUGGGGAGAUAUUCAGAUAGAAGGAAACAUAUAGGGAAGAGAAAAAUACCAAGAAAAAAAAAAAAUAGCCACCCUCAGAGAAUUUGUAGUCCUUGUUUUCUACACGAUUUUGCCAUGUGUAUCUAGUAAAGCUGUAACACAUAAAGAUUUAGUUUAUUUGCUAUUUUACCCUCUGUUGUUAGAAGCAGCUGAAACCCUAUGUAAGCUGCGAAGCCUAUGUAGGCUGUGAACCUAUCUGAGCAGCAAGAGUACUUUUAAUACCAGUAAAAGUGCUAUCUCACUCCUAGCCCACAAAACAGACUGUCAAACCUCCCCUCCUGCUAGCGUCUCCCUGUUUUAUCAGCAGCCAGGGAGCUGUCAGCGGGUGGGGUAGGGGAGACUAAAUAGGAGGCCAGCUCAGAAAGUAAUUCUGGAUGAAGACAACAGUGAAAGCCUGUCACAGAUUACAGCUACAUUUUAAGGACAGUGGACUCAUCCAUAAAGUAGAAAGCACUACUAAACGCUUGUGUCCAAGUGUAGUGUUUCCUACUUUAUGGAUGAGUGUACUGUGAGCAACGGAGGCAACAAGGAACAGCACAAUCAAGAACAAGGAUGGAAAAGGGAAGAGGCAACGUAACAUGUAAGUUGUGGGAUUGCCCACAGAUUAUAUUGCACAACAUUUAAGUACAGAUUCCUUCUGAUGUACUGCUACUAUAUUCAUCCCCAUUUUCCAGCAUUUGGACUCAAAAUUCUCCAAGCCACAUUUAUGACUUAGGUUACAUAUUUCUGCAUUUAAGUACAAUAAAGUAAGGAAGAAAACCUAACAAUAUGGCAAAGAUAUUCCAAAUAUAUUUGGCCUGUACUUCAUUUUACUAUUUCCUCAUUCUCCUUCCGUGAGUCAUAUUCUCCCCUCUGCUACAUUCCAAUAUGUUCAUGUUUUUUGAAGAAUCAAAAAAACUAGAAACAUAUUUAGUUGAGCAAAGCCAAAUUCAGAAUUCAUUAAGUUUUAUUUCUCUUGCUUGUUACAUUUAGAAACUCAUGAUAGUUCCCUCCAAACCUAAAUUACUUUUGCCAUUUAGGAAAGAGGUUGGCUGAAAUGUGAUGAUGAUGAUGAUGAUGAUGAUGAUGAUGGUGGUGGUGGUGGUGG